GACAGAGGAGCCAAGCGUUGUCCGGAUUGACUGGGCGUAAAGCGCACGCAGGCGGCUCGGCGCGUGGGGUGUGAAAGCUGGCGGCUUAACUGCCAGAUGCCAUCCCAUACGGCUGGGCUCGAGCCCUGCAGAGGUCCAUGGAAUUGCCGGUGUAGUGGUGAAAUGCGUAGACAUGUGGAGGAAUACCGAUGGCGAAGGCAGCCUCCUGGGCCAACACUGACGCUCAUGCACGAAAGCGUGGGGAGCAAACAGG
rnacentral:rRNA from 1 species